AAAGACUGAGAACUUCAUUGUGAGAUCUGACCAAAAGGGGAGAGGCCAGAAGAAGAUGUGGGAGAGGCAUGCAGGAGGCAUUCAGAUGCUGUCUUGAUAGUUCGGUCAUAAGAGGAAGCAAUUCUGUUAAAGAAAUAGACACAUAAGGCAAGGCAAAAUAAGGACCCAGCUGGGAAGCAGCACCAUACGAACAGGCCUAUGCUAAAAGAGGAA
rnacentral:lncRNA from 1 species